GAAAUAAGAAUGUUCGAGGGGAAGCUUCUAACUUUAUUCUCAAGCGGUUCAAAUCCGUUUUUAUUUCU
rnacentral:tRNA from 1 species